GAGUUUGAUUAUGGCUCAGGAUGAACGCUAGCGGGAGGCCUAACACAUGCAAGCCGAGCGGGAUUUGUUAGUUAGCUUGCUAACUAACAAUGAGAGCGGCGUACGGGUGCGUAACACGUGUGCAACCUGCCUUUAUCUGGGGGAUAGCCUUUCGAAAGGAAGAUUAAUACCCCAUAAUAUAUUGAUUGGCAUCAAUUGAUAUUGAAAGCUCCGGCGGAUAGAGAUGGGCACGCGUAAGAUUAGCUAGUUGGUGAGGUAACGGCUCACCAAGGCUGCGAUCUUUAGGGGGCCUGAGAGGGUGAUCCCCCACACUGGUACUGAGACACGGACCAGACUCCUACGGGAGGUAGCAGUGAGGAAUAUUGGACAAUGGGUGAGAGCCUGAUCCAGCCAUCCCGCGUGAAGGACUAAGGACCUAUGGUUUGUAAACUUCUUUUAUACAGGGAUAAACCUACUCUCGUGAGGG
rnacentral:rRNA from 1 species